UACGUAGGGGGCAAGCGUUGUCCGGAUUUAUUGGGCGUAAAGAGCGUGUAGGCGGUUUUACAGGUCCGCUGUGAAAACUCGAGGCUCAACCUCGAGCUGUCGGUGGAAACCGUAAGGCUAGAGUCCGGAAGAGGAGAGUGGAAUUCCUAGUGUAGAGGUGGAAUUCGUAGAUAUUAGGAAGAACACCAGUGGCGAAGGCGGCUCACUGGUCCGGUACUGACGCUGAGGUGGCGAAAGCGUGGGGAGCGAACAGG
rnacentral:rRNA from 1 species